rnacentral:rRNA from 1 species
UGGGGAAUAUUGCACAAUGGACGGAAGUUUGAUGCAGCGACGCCGCGUGGAGGGUGUAGGCCUUCGGGUUGUGAACUCCUUUUCCUCGCGAAAAAGGCACAGUUUUGGCUGUGUUGAUGGUAGUGGGGGAAGAAGCGCCGGCUAACUACGUGCCAGCAGCCGCGGUAAUACGUAGGGCGCGAGCGUUGUCCGGAUUUAUUGGGCGUAAAGAGCUCGUAGGUGGUUCGUCGCGUCUGUCGUGAAAGCCAGCAGCUUAACUGUUGGUCUGCGGUGGGUACGGGCGGGCUUGAGUGCGGUAGGGGUGACUGGAAUUCCUGGUGUAGCGGUGGAAUGCGCAGAUAUCAGGAGGAACACCGAUGGCGAAGGCAGGUCACUGGGCCGUUACUGACACUGAGGAGCGAAAGCGUGGGGAGCGAACAGG